rnacentral:tRNA from 1 species
CCCUGUAUGGCUCAGAUGGUAAAGCAUCUGCCUGCAAUGCAGAAGACCCGGGUUCGAUCCCAGGGUUGGGA